UACGGAGGUUGCAAGCGUUGUUCGGAAUUACUGGGCGUAAAGGGAGCGCAGGCGGCUCUAUAAGUCUGGAGUGAAAUCCCGGGGCUUAACCUCGGAAGUGCUUUGGAUACUGUAGGGCUUGAGUGUGCGAGAGGAAAGCGGAAUUCCAGGUGUAGCGGUGAAAUGCGUAGAUAUCUGGAGGAACACCGGUGGCGAAAGCGGCUUUCUGGCGCACAACUGACGCUAAGGCUCGAAAGCGUGGGGAGCAAACGGG
rnacentral:rRNA from 1 species